GACCCAAUUCUUCUAAUAAAUCAAGAUGGAAGCGAUUCUGGGCCGUCGGAUCACGAUCUGGGUGAAGCGCUGCCGUUGGAUCGCACUGCAGAGAUGGGAUCAGGUCGGAUGCAUCGCGGACCGUCCGAUCAAGGCGCUGAAAGAUUUCGUCCGUUGGAUCGCGCUGCAGAUGGAUCCCGUGUUGUCCUAGUGUUUAUUGAUUCUUGCAAUUGCCUUGAUUACGGUUGGAUCUUGACCGGCUGCGAUGGUGGCCGUCCGAUGACGCAAAAAUGUGGAGCGUUGGAUCUUGAUCAGAGAAGAUCGGACCAUCGAGUGAUGUGAAGUUACCAGGUUGCCCUUCGGACCUUCUUCUCUCUCCUCAUGAGCUCUGGAC
rnacentral:lncRNA from 1 species